rnacentral:ncRNA from 2 species
GGGCUGCUGCGUUACUGGCGGAUUGUGAUGGAGACCAUCGGGGAGCGCAGCCACGUGAGCCGACCGCCUGGGCCUUACCG